rnacentral:rRNA from 1 species
UACCAGCUCUCCGAGUGGUGGGGACGUUUAUUGGGCCUAAAGCAUCCGUAGCUGGCUGAGUUAGUCCCCUGUUAAAUCCACCGAAUUAAUCGUUGGAUUGCGGGGGAUACUGCUCGGCUAGGGGACGGGAGAGGCAGACGGUAUUUUCGGGGUAGGGGUGAAAUCCUAUAAUCCCGGGAAGACCACCAGUGGCGAAGGCUGUCUGCUAGAACGCGCCCGACGGUGAGGGAUGAAAGCUGGGGGAGCGAACCGG